rnacentral:rRNA from 2 species
ACUGCUCAGUAACACGUGGAUAACCUGCCCUAAGGAAGGGGAUAACCUCGGGAAACUGAGGAUAAUACCCUAUAGGUUACAGACGCUGGAAUGCCCUGUAACCGAAAGUUCCGGCGCCUUAGGAUGGAUCUGCGGCCGAUUAGGUUGUUGUUGGGGUAACGGCCCAACAAGCCGAUAAUCGGUACGGGUUGUGGGAGCAAGAGCCCGGAGUUGGAUUCUGAGACAUGAAUCCAGGCCCUACGGGGCGCAGCAGGCGCGAAAACUUUACAAUGCGGGAAACCGUGAUAAGGGAACCCCGAGUGCCUGUAUAUGCAGGCUGUCCAGGUGUCUAAAAAACACCUGAAGAAAGGGCCGGGCAAGACCGGUGCCAGCCGCCGCGGUAAUACCGGCGGCUCGAGUGGUGGCCACUUUUAUUGGGCUUAAAGCGUUCGUAGCUGGGUUGUUAAGUCUCUUGGGAAAUCUGACGGCUCAACCGUCAGGCGUCCAAGGGAUACUGGCAAUCUUGGAACCGGGAGAGGUGAGGGGUACUUCGGGGGUAGGAGUGAAAUCCUGUAAUCCUCGAGGGACCACCUGUGGCGAAGGCGCCUCACCAGAACGGCUUCGACAGUGAGGGACGAAAGCUGGGGGAGCAAACCGGAUUAGAUACCCGGGUAGUCCCAGCCGUAAACGAUGCGCGUUAGGUGUAUCGGUGACCACGAGUCACCGAGGUGCCGAAGGGAAACCGUGAAACGUGCCGCCUGGGGAAGUACGGUCGCAAGGCUGAAACUUAAAGGAAUUGGCGGGGGAGCAC